GACGAACGCUGGCGGCGUGCUUAACACAUGCAAGUCGAACGAUGACGACCGUGCUUGCACGGUCUGAUUAGUGGCGAACGGGUGAGUAACACGUGAGUAACCUGCCCUUCACUUCGGGAUAACCUCGGGAAAUCGUGGCUAAUACCGGAUAUGAACCCUUGUCGCAUGGUGGGGGUUGGAAAGAUUUAUCGGUGAAGGAUGGACUCGCGGCCUAUCAGUUUGUUGGUGAGGUAAUGGCUCACCAAGACGAUGACGGGUAGCCGGCCUGAGAGGGCGACCGGCCACACUGGGACUGAGACACGGCCCAGACUCCUACGGGAGGCAGCAGUGGGGAAUAUUGCACAAUGGGCGAAAGCCUGAUGCAGCGACGCCGCGUGGGGGAUGACGGCCUUCGGGUUGUAAACCUCUUUCAGUAGGGAAGAAGCGAAAGUGACGGUA
rnacentral:rRNA from 1 species